UACGUAGGGCGCAAGCGUUGUCCGGAAUUAUUGGGCGUAAAGUGCUCGUAGGCGGCUUGUCACGUCGGGUGUGAAAGCCCGGGGCUUAACCCCGGGUCUGCAUUCGAUACGGGCUAGCUAGAGUGUGGUAGGGGAGACUGGAAUUCCUGGUGUAGCGGUGAAAUGCGCAGAUAUCAGGAGGAACACCGGUGGCGAAGGCGGGUCUCUGGGCCGUAACUGACGCUGAGGAGCGAAAGCGUGGGGAGCGAACAGG
rnacentral:rRNA from 1 species